rnacentral:rRNA from 1 species
UAUGUGAUCGUCUCUCGCAUAUCAAUAAGCGGAGGAAAAGAAACUAACAAGGAUUCCCCUAGUAACGGCGAGUGAAGCGGGAAGAGCUCAAAUUUGAAAUCUUAAAGGGUUUCCCUUUACGAAUUGUAGUUUAAAGAAGUGUUUUCUGUUGAGGUUUUGGUAAAAGUUCUUUGGAAUAGGACAUCAUAGAGGGUGAGAAUCCCGUAUUUGACCUUUACUUUCAACUUUGUGAUACACUUUCAAAGAGUCGGAUUGUUUGGGAAUGCAGUCCAAAAUGGGUGGUAAAUUUCAUCUAAAGCUAAAUAUUGGCGAGAGACCGAUAGCGAACAAGUACCGUGAGGGAAAGAUGAAAAGAACUUUGAAAAGAGAGUUAAACAGUACGUGAAAUUGUCAAAAGGGAAGCGUUUGACACCAGUGUUGUUUUUCUGAAAAUCAAUUAAAGAACUGUUUAUGCUAAGCUGUUUAGACUUUAUCAGCUAACUGUUUAGUUUUGAGCUUUUCUUUAAUGCACUUUUCAGUUAACAAGUCAACAUCAAUUUCUUUUGCUGUAAAAAAGCUUGAGGAAGGUGGCUUGAGAUUCGUCUUAAGUGUUUAUAGCCUCUUGCCUAUGCAGUCGGAGAGAUUGAGGUUUGCAGCGUAGAUCCUUCGGGGCUAAAUGCAUUUGUGCUAAGUUAUAGCAUUUUAUAGGACAACUUGUUGACUAUGAUUUGUCUUGUAGCUUACUCGCUUAUGUUAUUUUACCUACGCUUAGGAUGUUGAUCUCUCACAGUCGAGC